rnacentral:rRNA from 1 species
AUUGCAGGCUGAAACUCGCCUGUAUGAAGUCGGAAUUGCUAGUAAUCGCGGAUCAGCAUGCCGCGGUGAAUACGUUCCCGGGCCUUGUACACACCGCCCGUCACACCAUGAGAGUUGGCAACACCCGAAGUCAGUAGCCUAACCGCAAGGGGGGCGCUGCCGAAGGUGGGGUUGAUGAUUGGGGUGAAGUCGUAACAAGGUACC